CGAAGUGAUGAAGCCAUGUUUCAUCGCCUGUAACAAUGUUAGACAAAAAAUUGUCACCAUUAGUCUCGUGGUGAGCAAGCAAUGAAAAUAAUGAAUAUCUACUUGUGAUAUGUAGAUGUAGUUAUUUAUCAAAAACACAAAAUUGUAAAGAAAAAAAUUUUUAUUUUUACAUUAUAUUGUAUAAUACAUUUAUAACAUAUAAAAGUAAUAUUUAGAGAAAACAUUUGUAAUAUAUGUUAAUAGUUACAUGAUUAUUGUAAAAUUUACAAUGACUCAAUUAAUCUGUGAGUCCGAGGAUGUCGUCAAGGUUCCUAGAUGAAGUCGAAGAUACCUGCAUCCUGUAUCUUUUGCGUGCAGUCUCCUCGGUCUGGUUGAUUUCUUGAUGGAGACGCUUUCUUUUCUCGGGAUCGGACAUCUUUUCCUGAAUCUUAGUAGCAACAAUGUGCCUGUAUCCAACUGAAUUUACAGACAUGCAGGGAAUGUUGUUUUUGAUUAGUGUGCGGUUAACAUACUGUAUCGGAUUAGAAAUUCGAGUUCCAUUUGAACUUAGAAGGAAUGCAUUGCAGUCAGUGUUUGUCACUAACAUUAUUGUAAUAAUACUCCAUUAUUUUCAUGAUGGUUCUCCUAUGCUCUUUAUGGUCUUCUGUUAGACAUCGAGGGACCCAACGGGAAU
rnacentral:lncRNA from 1 species